GAUUGAACGCUGGCGGCGUGCUUAACACAUGCAAGUCGUGCGGUAACAGGCGUAGCAAUACGUGCUGACGAGCGGCGAACGGGUGCGUAAUACAUGGGAAUCUGCCCUUUAGUGGGGAAUAACCCGGCGAAAGCCGGGCUAAUGCCGCAUAAGAUCUUCGGAUGAAAGCGGGGGAUCGUAAGACCUCGCGCUGAUGGAUGAGCCCAUGCCGGAUUAGCAGUUGGUGAGGUAACGGCUCACCAAGGCGACGAUCCGUAGCUGGUCUGAGAGGACGGCCAGCCACACUGGGACUGAGACACGGCCCAGACUCCUACGGGAGGCAGGCAG
rnacentral:rRNA from 1 species